AAUGGCUCAAUAAAUCAGUUAUCGUUUAUUUGAUAGUACCUUACUACUUGGAUAACCGUGGUAAUUCUAGAGCUAAUACAUGCUAAAAAUCCCGACUUCGGAAGGGAUGUAUUUAUUAGAUUAAAAACCAAUGCCCUCCGGGGCUCCCUGGUGAUUCAUGAUAACUUCUCGAAUCGCAUGGCCUUGUGCCGGCGAUGGUUCAUUCAAAUUUCUGCCCUAUCAACUUUCGACGGCUGGGUCUUGGCCAGCCGUGGUGACAACGGGUAACGGAGGGUUAGGGCUCGACCCCGGAGAAGGAGCCUGAGAAACGGCUACUACAUCCAAGGAAGGCAGCAGGCGCGCAAAUUACCCAAUCCCGACACGGGGAGGUAGUGACAAUAAAUACUGAUACAGGGCUCUUUUGGGUCUUGUAAUUGGAAUGAGUACAAUUUAAAUCCCUUAACGAGGAACAAUUGGAGGGCAAGUCUGGUGCCAGCAGCCGCGGUAAUUCCAGCUCCAAUAGCGUAUAUUAAAGUUGUUGCAGUUAAAAAGCUCGUAGUUGAACCUUGGGCCUGGCUGGCCGGUCCGCCUCACCGCGUGCACUGGUCCGGCCGGGCCUUUCCCUCUGGGGAACCGCAUGCCCUUCACUGGGUGUGCCGGGGAACCAGGACUUUUACUUUGAAAAAAUUAGAGUGUUCAAAGCAGGCCUAUGCUCGGAUACAUUAGCAUGGAAUAAUAAAAUAGGACGUGCGGUUCUAUUUUGUUGGUUUCUAGGACCGCCGUAAUGAUUAAUAGGGACAGUCGGGGGCAUCAGUAUUCAAUUGUCAGAGGUGAAAUUCUUGGAUUUAUUGAAGACUAACUACUGCGAAAGCAUUUGCCAAGGAUGUUUUCAUUAAUCAGGAACGAAAGUUAGGGGAUCGAAGACGAUCAGAUACCGUCGUAGUCUUAACCAUAAACUAUGCCGACUAGGGAUCGGACGAUGUUAUUCUUUGACUCGUUCGGCACCUUACGCGAAAGCACAAGUUUCUGGAUUCUGGGGGG
rnacentral:rRNA from 1 species